UGCGAGGCGAGACUCUAGGUACACUGCCAGAUGGCGCUUAUCGAUGGUGUAAAGAAAUCCUCUGGUUUGUACGAUACGAACACACUUGUUACGAGAAGAUUUAUAUUAUUUAACAAUCACUCGAAGGAAUUGGUUAACGAUAUAGUAGACUAACUAGCAAUCCUGAGUCUCGCUUGUCAAUGUAACAGUAGAAAUUUAAUCAUUAUUGUAAAGUUACAAUCUAUCGAAUUCGGGACCCUCGCGAGCUCUACACCUCUAAUUACGCCACUGCAAUAUAUUUUUUUAGUAUUAUGCCGGCACAAAAAUCUUUGCAAUACAUAGUCGUAGUCGGUAAUAGUUUCAGAAGGAUUGGUUAAAAUAAAGAUUUUGAAAAAAUAUUAAUUAGAAGAUCCCUAUUGUUGGCUACUUUGACAUUUAAUUUACUGCAAAAAGAGUUGGUAGCAAAGAAGUGACGCGUUCUGCUGCAAACGGAAAUAAUUCAUGAGUCAGGCAUGAAAUUUUUCGUUCUGAAAUCAUGUAUAAAAAUAUCUGUACGAGGAAUGCAACAGUCGUCUCGGAGAUGAGUUGUUCAGAGGAAAAUGAUCUCGGACAAGUUGCUUCGAUUUCAACUAAUUUCCAUAUAGAAAAGUCUGGAUGUUCCCAUUGGUUCAACCAAAAGAGGUCGUAAGGUAUCCCCGGUGCGAUCAAUAUGGAAGAGAAGAUAUGGGUGACUUCGACCCACCGUGAAAACCAUACGCAGACUGCACGUGUCUAUGGUGCAACAUUCUGUAACUUUUUGCAACUUGAGUCCAUCGUCUCUCAAGAGAAUAAAUUUAACAAUUUCUAA